ensembl:lncRNA
GUUUAAAGAUAGUUUUGUAUGACUGCUUUAAGUGGUUGUGUGAAUUUAGACAGUAAAAUGCACAGGAUUCAGUGAUCCAGUAAUUCACUAAUUCAGUUUCCCUCUCUCGAAAACUCAAAACAUGUAUUUUAAAAGUCCUUCUUGUCAGUAGGGUAAAUGUACACCUCUGUAAAAACUCUCUCUCAGUAGAAGUGUGCCGGUAUUUAUUUCCGGUUGUUUCUGUUUUGUAGCUAUGCACUUUUGGAUGUCGCACACUGGGCUGCAGCAUCUUCACAUUUGACCGGCGUUUGCACCACCUGCGGUUCGCCCUCAGUGCCAUGUUGGAGCGUCAUGCCAGCGCACACUUGUGGAAGAAAAUGCCUCAAGUAUCAUCAGGUCUCAGGUCGCGUCAUGUCACACCUCCAACCAUAGGAACCCCUGUCAGGGCUGGCGAUAGACCCUCCAAAUCCACCGUCUCUCUCUGCCUUGAGUCUACCUCACUGGGACAACAGGAAACCAAAAGUAGUCAACGGAACUGUCACAGUACCAAGCCGCCUUAUUCCUCCACCUCUGCGAGCCUCGGGUCUGGUAGGCGGCGCAGCCCCGCUGAGCGACCCAGCAAGACUCAGCUGAAGGAGGUGGAGCUUAUGCAAGAUGCAAGCGCAGCACACAGAGCUGCCAAGCUGUUAUACAGCGGUGAGGACAAAUCCUGCAGAUUCAUCAGGGAUCCCCCCCUCCACGAGAAGAGCCAGCCUCACGUCCCCUCCUCUCAAGGACCAGCCAGCAGUACUUUCUCACACGGGAAGAAGCCAUGUCCUCCUCUUCUCCUGAAGCCUGCAGAGAGAAAGUUAUCCGUUUUGGAAAAGUGCUCCCCUCUGGCUGCACCAGCAAACCGCUCUCCUCGCAGCAGAGCGAAGCCCCCAGCCGUUCAGCAGAAAGUCGGGGGCUUUGACCACAGGGGUCCGGCCCAGAAGCGCAAACACAGCAGUGAGUCCCUGCCGCUCAGCUCCUCACUGUCCAGAACCACCAAGUAUAAAUGUUUGCCCUCCCCUUCCCGUUCAAGCCUUGUUUCCUGGAAGGGAGAGAAUAUCGAGGAUGUGCUUACUUGGGGCUUGGAGAAAAGAUCAGACCCGUAAAAGAACCUUUUGUGAAAUAGGCUGCACUCCGUCAGUUUUAUUAUGAUGUGGAUUCAUUCCCUUAAAAAAAGACAUGAGUGGAAUCAACAUCUUGAUUUGAACUGAACUGUGAUUUGUUUUUUAGCAACACCAUUUGUAAGUGACGGUUGUUUACGCUCAUCUUCGCAGCCAACAAAGAGGCCAGCCUUAAAAAGACCACUUGGAGAAAAGGCCCACUGAAGGCUGCAGCUACUGACAGGAUCGUGUGAGUGUUUGAAUGUGUGUGUUUGUAAGUGUGCACGUCUCUUUGUUUAUUUAUCUACACUUUUUAUGCACAGCUGUCAGGAACAAGUAUUUGUAUGCACAUUACUGUAUUUGUGUAUUAUUGCAAAGUUUUCUAUUUUUCUACAGGACGAAAUGAGUUGAAUAUCUGUGUAAGAACAUCAACAUACCUCAGUCUGCUCAUUAUGCUGCUAAUGUUAA